rnacentral:rRNA from 1 species
GUGUCAGCAGCCGCGGUAAUACGUAGGGGGCGAGCGUUGUCCGGAUUUACUGGGCGUAAAGCGCGUGUAGGCGGCGUGCCAAGUCCGGGGUGAAAGGCGGGGGCUCAACCCCCGAGCUGCGCUGGAAACUGGCAGGCUUGAGUGUCGGAGAGGGGAGUGGAAUUCUCGGUGUAGCGGUGAAAUGCGUAGAGAUCGAGAGGAACACCCGUGGCGAAGGCGGCUCCCUGGCCGAACACUGACGCUGAGACGCGAAAGCGCGGGGAGCGAACGGGAUUAGAUACCCUGGUAGUCC